UCAUAGAUAGCAUGCAGUGUAGUCAGUACGACUGCGAAUAGCUCAUUAAUACGCUCAGAAUCUAUUUGGCGGCGACCAACAGGUCUUAAAUGGAUAGCAGCAGCAACUCUGGUGCUAAUACAUGCGAUUGUUUCUCCAGAUGUGAAUUAUGGAGGAAAAGUUGACCUCAUCAGAGGCACGCCAUUCGACUGAGUGACCUAUCAGCUUGUACUUAGGGUCUUUACCUAGGUAGGCUAUCACGGGUAACGGGCGGUUACCGUCGGACUGCCGGAGAAGGCGCCUGAGAGAUAGCGACUAUAUCCACGGGUAGCAGCAGGCGCGAAACUUUCCCACUCGAGACUUUCGGAGGAGGUAAUGACCAGUUCCAUUGGUGCCUUUUGGUACUGUGGAUAGGGGUACGGUUUUCCACCGUACCGAAACCUAGCAGAGGGCCAGUCUGGUGCCAGCAGCUGCGGUAAUUCCAGCUCUGCGAGUUUGCUCCCAUAUUGUUGCAGUUAAAACGCCCGUAGUCUGAAUUGGCCAGCAAUGGUCGUACGUAUUUUUACGUUCACUGUGAACAAAUCAGGACGCUUAGAGUAUGGCCACAUGAAUGACUCAGCGCAGUAUGAAGUCUUUGUUUUCUUCCGAAAACAAGCUCAAUGAGAGCCAUCGGGGGUAGAUCUAUCUCAUGACGAGUGGUGGAAUACUUUGACUCAUGAGAGAGAAGCUGAGGCGAAGGCGUCUACCUAGAGGGUUUCUGUCGAUCAAGGGCGAGAGUAGGAGUAUCCAACAGGAUUAGAGACCCUGGUAGUUCCUACCUUAAACGAUGCCGACAGGAGUUUGUCAUUUGUUAAUGGCAGAAUCUUUGGAGAAAUCAUAGUCUGCUCUGACUACGACGCAGCUGAACUGAGAUGACGAG
rnacentral:rRNA from 1 species